rnacentral:sRNA from 1 species
UCCGGUUAAACUGAAAGUGACCUUGGG